AGCAGCCAUGGCUCACGGGCCCAGCCGCUCCACGGCAUGUGGGAUCUUCCCGGACCGGGGCACGAACCCGUGUGCCCUGCAUCGGCAGACGGACUCUCAACCACCGCGCCACCAGGGAAGCCCUGGCAAAGGAUUUUCAUCUACUUUGCCUUAGAUACAUGCUUCUUCUGAUCUUGUGAUCUGAGGUAUCGGAGUCCAUGCAGCAAACCGAUGGCAAGUUCAAGGUGAAAGAAGUCUACAUUUGUUCAUAGUGGCAGAUGAAGUGAGUUUGGUAAGAAAUCCAUGUCCAAUUCUGUGUACUGCAUGC